rnacentral:rRNA from 1 species
UUCCCACUAACUCAGGGGAUAGCCUUUACGAAGAAAGAUUAAUACCUGAUAGACUUUUUCAAGGCAUCUGAAAAGUUAAAGAUUUAUGGUUAUGGAUGGGGAUGCGUUCCAUUAGAUAGUUGGUGAGGUAACGGCUCACCAAGUCUUCGAUGGAUAGGGGUUCUGAGAGGAAGGUCCCCCACAUUGGUACUGAGACACGGACCAAACUCCUACGGGAGGCAGCAGUGAGGAAUAUUGGUCAAUGGGCGAGAGCCUGAACCAGACCAAGUAGCGUGAAGGAUAGAAGGUCCUAUGGAUUGUAAACUUCUUUUAUAGUAGAAUAAAGUGAGCCACGUGUGGUUUUUUGUAUGUAUACUAUGAAUAAGGAUCGGCUAACUCCGUGCCAGCAGCAGC